GUGGGUGCGCAUUUGGUGAGCAAAGCGGUCUCCAAAACCGUGUCUGUAAUGGACUUGAGGGUUCGACUCCCUACACCCGCGCCA
rnacentral:tRNA from 1 species